rnacentral:rRNA from 1 species
UGGGGAAUAUUGGGCAAUGGGCGCAAGCCUGACCCAGCGACGCCGCGUGGGUGAUGAAGGCCUUCGGGUUGUAAGGCUCUUUCGGCAGGAACGAAACGGUUUGGGCUAAUACCCCAGACUACUGACGGUACCUGAAGAAGAAGCACCGGCUAACUACGUGCCAGCAGCCGCGGUAAUACGUAGGGUGCGAGCGUUAAUCGGAUUUACUGGGCGUAAAGCAUGCGCAGGCGGCGGUUCAAGUCAGGUGUGAAAUCCCCGAGCUUAACUUGGGAAUUGCGCUUGAAACUAGAUCGCUAGAGUACGGCAGAGAGGGGUAGAAUUCCACGUGUAGCAGUGAAAUGCGUAGAGAUGUGGAGGAACACCGAUGGCGAAGGCAGCCCCCUGGGCCUGUACUGACGCUCAUGCAUGAAAGCGUGGGGAGCAAACGGGAUUAGAUACCCCUGUAGUCCCUGAGCGGGCUGGCAAGGCGCAU